AGAGUUUGAUCAUGGCUCAGGAUGAACGCUAGCGGCAGGCCUAACACAUGCAAGUCGAGGGGCAGCACGAUUGAGCUUGCUUAAUUGGUGGCGACCGGCGCACGGGUGCGUAACGCGUAUGCAACCUACCUUAUACUGGGGUAUAGCCCGGAGAAAUUCGGAUUAAUCCCCCAUAGUAUUAUUGAAUGGCAUCAUUUGAUAAUUAAAGGCUACGGUAUAAGAUGGGCAUGCGUCCCAUUAGCUAGAUGGUGAGGUAACGGCUCACCAUGGCGACGAUGGGUAGGGGGCCUGAGAGGGUGGUCCCCCACACUGGUACUGAGACACGGACCAGACUCCUACGGGAGGCAGCAGUGAGGAAUAUUGGUCAACGGGCGCAAGCCUGAACCAGCCAUGCCGCGUGCAGGAAGACGGCCCUAUGGGUCGUAAACUGCUUUUGAACGGGAAGAAAUCUAUUUACGUGUAAAUAGUUGACGGUACCGUUAGAAUAAGGAUCGGCUAACUUCGUG
rnacentral:rRNA from 1 species